rnacentral:sRNA from 1 species
ACCCCAAAAUCGCAGUGUAAACGGACAGGACAGGACUUGUUUUUAGAUUUAGUUAAAUCCAGAUCAUAAAAAUUUCGAUGUAAACGUGCUAUAAACGAUUUUCGUUAUGAGUUACAGAAUUGCGGCGCAGGACAUCCAUUAACGGUUUAGCCGAGCGAAAUGUGCAGACUUUGUAACAGCGAUUAAAAGCAUUGAAAGAUGAUCCUCGCCCAAAACGCAACAAGGCAGAUUCACACACAGCGUUAAAACCGAUUGCAUUCAAAAAGAGUGAUCCAGAAGAAAAUUGAAAAUCCAGACAAAUUAAAGUGGAAAAGGGAUUGUUAGCUCGCUACUAUUCAAAUAGGAAGGCUUAAUGGAAAUAUGGUGCAAUUAUUCAAAAAUAUGGCCAUCUUCAUGAUUCAGUCAACUCGAUGACGGAUUCGAAUUUUAACGGCACAUUAACCAGUUGAUAGUAACAAACAUCCCAAAACCAAUAACAGAUUUUUUA